rnacentral:rRNA from 1 species
GACGAACGCUGGCGGCGUGCCUAAUACAUGCAAGUUGAGCGCUGAAGGUUGGUACUUGUACCAACUGGAUGAGCAGCGAACGGGUGAGUAACGCGUGGGGAAUCUGCCUUUGAGCGGGGGACAACAUUUGGAAACGAAUGCUAAUACCGCAUAAAAACUUUAAACACAAGUUUUAAGUUUGAAAGAUGCAAUUGCAUCACUCAAAGAUGAUCCCGCGUUGUAUUAGCUAGUUGGUGAGGUAAAGGCUCACCAAGGCGAUGAUACAUAGCCGACCUGAGAGGGUGAUCGGCCACAUUGGGACUGAGACACGGCCCAAACGCCUACGGGAGGCAGCAGUAGGGAAUCUUCGGCAAUGGACGAAAGUCUGACCGAGCAACGCCGCGGGAGUGAAGAAGGGUUUCGGAUCGUAAAACUCUGUUGGUAGAGAAGAACGUUGGUGAGAGUGGAAAGCUCAUCAAGUGACGGUAACUACCCAGAAAGGGACGGCUAACUACAUG